CCUCCACGCUUAUACCGACGAUUAAAAAGGUUAGACAAACAUAAAAAAAAAUAAGAACAUGUAUUAAGGACACAUAAUGACGUACAUCAUGAAGCUUACCAUUUUCUUAGAGAGAGAGAGAGA